rnacentral:rRNA from 1 species
UACGUAGGGUGCGAGCGUUUGUCCGGAAUUAUUGGGCGUAAAGGGCUCGUAGGCGGUUUGUCGCGUCGGGAGUGAAAACUCAGGGCUUAACCCUGAGCCUGCUUCCGAUACGGGCAGACUAGAGGUAUGCAGGGGAGAACGGAAUUCCUGGUGUAGCGGUGAAAUGCGCAGAUAUCAGGAGGAACACCAGUGGCGAAGGCGGUGCUCUGGGCCGGAACUGACGCUGAGGAGCGAAAGCGUGGGGAGCAAACAGG